GAUGAACGCUGGCGGCGUGCCUAAUACAUGCAAGUCGAGCGAACGGACGAGAAGCUUGCUUCUCUGAUGUUAGCGGCGGACGGGUGAGUAACACGUGGAUAACCUACCUAUAAGACUGGGAUAACUUCGGGAAACCGUAGCUAAUACCGGAUAAUAUUUUGAACCGCAUGGUUCAAUAGUGAAAGACGGUCUUGCUGUCACUUAUAGAUGGAUCCGCGCUGCAUUAGCUAGUUGGUAAGGUAACGGCUUACCAAGGCAACGAUGCAUAGCCGACCUGAGAGGGUGAUCGGCCACACUGGAACUGAGACACGGUCCAGACUCCUACGGGAGGCAGCAGUAGGGAAUCUUCCGCAAUGGGCGAAAGCCUGACGGAGCAACGCCGCGUGAGUGAUGAAGGUCUUCGGAUCGUAAAACUCUGUUAUUAGGGAAGAACAUAUGUGUAAGUAACUGUACACAUCUUGACGGUACCUAAUCAGAAAGCCACGGCUAACUACGUG
rnacentral:rRNA from 1 species